GCCCUUAUAGCUCAGUGGUAGAGCGUUGCACUUGUAUUCCACGCUAUCAACGUGUGAUUAACUUGCCAUGCAAAGGUCCGUUGUUCAAUCCAGCGUGGGGGCA